GUCCGGCCUCGGCAGAGGACCGGCCGAACUAUACUGAGCCCUUCCAAGCAACUACCAAUGCCCGAGGUCCUGUCCGGCCUCGGCCCGAGGACUGGCCGGACCGGGCCUUUGGCCGCCCUAAUUAGGUCUGAGAAAAUGUGUCCUAUAGCAUUUGGCGGUAACGCAUCCAUGAACACUUUUCAAUUUUAGCAGGGUUGCACUUCUACGUUUCGAGAGAGAGACAGAGAGAGGGAUGAAGGAAGAAGAGGAAUUCGCCUGUCCGAGCGAGGUGUUGGGCAAAACAACGGAGUUGAUUGCAGGAAGCGGCACUUAUGUCUCCCCUCUUUCGAUUACCAUUCGCUCUUCUCUCUUUGUACGCCGCCACAUUCUUCCGGCCCCUCCCAAUGCCGAUCAUCAGAAACCCGCCAUCGAAGUUGUGCGUCACAAGGCCCAUGAAUUGGUUCCUCAACCUGGCUCCAUUGUCAUUUGCCCUGGUAACGAAGGUGAUGGCUAGAGUGGCUUCAGCUGAUAUCAUGUGUUGGACCAAAGUCUGUCAGAGAAAAAUUUACUGGAAUGAUCAGGCCGUUCAACUUUCAUGGUGGCAUCGAGCUAUGCAAGAGGACCUUGCAAGUCUUGAUUUUAAUAACACUUGUACUCCAGUUUCUUUGCUUAUUGGGAAGCAAUCCAUUGGCUGCAAAUGAACUUAUAAGUUCAAGCAAAUGUUUGAUGGUACGCAUGACAGAAACAGGCGCAUCUAUUGCCACAGUAUGCGUGGGGUUUGACUCUGAUGAAACAAUUGCGCCUGUGGCAAAGUUGAUUAUGCUUUGUACCUUGCUGGCUCUCAUUACUGCUCAAGAGUGGACAGUGAGGCAGAUGUUGUUAAAGAAUGCUUUCGGAAUGCUGAUUUAUGGAAAGCUGUAUCCAUGAGGCAACCACAAGGCUACACUUCUCUUGUUUUCACCUUUGGCAUGCAAACUUUGUGAGCUAUCUCUUGGGGAUGCAAGGGCUUAUUAUCUUUCAACUGCAAAGAAUGAACUGGGGGUCGUAUCUGCACAAAGUGCUGCAGGUGCAACUAUGAUACCUAUCAGUUGGACAGAGAUGCAAUGCCCUCAGACCGGCCAAAUCAAGCAAAGAAAAGUUGCAAAAGUUAAAUGAUAUGGUCCCAUUUGUAGCCUUCAACUUUGACCUUGUUUGUAUAUUUGUCGUCCAGGCUAAUGCUAUUUUUUCCUUUUUUAAGGUUUAUUUGAGUGCUUGUUAGUUGGGAUUCUGAAUAAGUACAUGUUUUAUUUUGCUUAGCGGGAAUUCAUGAUUUAUUUUGGUUAGAGGAAAUUUGAGAGUUAUUACCACCAUUAGUACAAAAUGGCUUUGCUUUGUUCC